rnacentral:rRNA from 1 species
UUGAACGCUGGCGGCAUGCCUUACACAUGCAAGUCGAACGGCAGCACGGGAGCAAUCCUGGUGGCGAGUGGCGAACGGGUGAGUAAUACAUCGGAACGUGCCCAGUAGUGGGGGAUAACCCGGCGAAAGCCGGACUAAUACCGCAUACGACCUACGGGUGAAAGCGGGGGAUCGCAAGACCUCGCGCUAUCGGAGCGGCCGAUGUCAGAUUAGCUAGUUGGUGGGGUAAAGGCCUACCAAGGCGACGAUCUGUAGCUGGUCUGAGAGGACGACCAGCCACACUGGGACUGAGACACGGCCCAGACUCCUACGGGAGGCAGCAGUGGGGAAUUUUGGACAAUGGGCGCAAGCCUGAUCCAGCCAUGCCGCGUGCGGGAAGAAGGCCUUCGGGUUGUAAACCGCUUUUGUCAGGGAAGAAACGCUCCGGGCUAAUACCACGGAGUAAUGACGGUACCUGAAGAAUAAGCACCGGCUAACUACGUG